rnacentral:rRNA from 1 species
CAGUAGCCACGGGAAUACGUAGGGUCCGAGCGUUGUCCGGAAUUAUUGGGCGUAAAGGGCUCGUAGGCGGUUUGUCGCGUCGGGAGUGAAAACCAGCAGCUUAACUGCUGGCCUGCUUUCGAUACGGGCAGACUUGAGGCAUUCAGGGGAGAACGGAAUUCCUGGUGUAGCGGUGAAAUGCGCAGAUAUCAGGAGGAACACCGGUGGCGAAGGCGGUUCUCUGGGAAUGUUCUGACGCUGAGGAGCGAAAGUGUGGGGAGCGAACAGGAUUAGAUACCCCUGUAGUCCCUGUCUCUUAUAC